UACGUAGGGUGCAAGCGUUUGUCCGGAAUUAUUGGGCGUAAAGAGCUCGUAGGCGGUCUGUUGCGUCGGCUGUGAAAACCCGAGGCUCAACCUCGGGCCUGCAGCCGAUACGGGCAGACUAGAGUUCGGCAGGGGAGACUGGAAUUCCUGGUGUAGCGGUGAAAUGCGCAGAUAUCAGGAGGAACACCGGUGGCGAAGGCGG
rnacentral:rRNA from 1 species